UGCAGAGGAGCCGCUGCCAUGACUCGGAGGAAAGAGGAGCAGCUUCGGACGCUUCCCAAUCAACUAUCCAAACAAGACGCGGCAAAACGGCGGAGACCGAGAGAAAGAGAUAGAGCGAGAGAGAGAAGAGAGGAAUAUCUAGAUGACAGAUUGCUGAACUCCCAUGAUGCCAUCAGACGAUCAGAUACCAGAAAGACUGAAAGCGGCGGAUGAAGAGAAACACGUCCGUGAAGCCCACAGAAACUCCUCUCUCGUUGGCCAAGUGUACCCAUCUUCUGAUGACUACUUUCAGCAGGAUAACGCGCCAUAUCAUAAAGAGCAAAUCAUCUCAGACUGGUUUCUUGAACAUGACAAUGAGUUCACUGUGCUCAAAUGACCUCAACAGUUACCAGAUUCCAAUACAAUAGAGCACCUUUGGGAUGUGGUGGAACGGGAGACUCACAUCAUGCAUGUGCAGCAAACAAUUCUGCAGCAAC